CGUCAAGAAGUUCACAUGUCACUGUGGAAAAUCAUACAAAUAUCAACGAGGCUUGACUGAUCAUGUCAAAUAUGCCUGUGGAAUAUUACCCGAGUUCAAAUGCCAGUUUCAGAAUUGUAAUUUUAUGUCUAAGCUACGAGGAAACCUGAAGAAACACAUGGUAUCGAAGCACUCUUCGAAUAUAUUUUGAUUUGAUUGUUCCAGUGUGAAUGUGGUAGAACAUAUACUAGGAAAGAGAAUUUGACGAGGCAUAAAAAGGACUGUGGUAGUUUGGAAAGAAAACAUCACUGCAAACUUUGCGACUACAAAACCAACAGGAAAGAUACAAUGAAAUGCCAUAUUAUUUCUCGACAUUCUGCUAAAUUGAAAAAUAAAUGAAUAAACAUA